UACGGAGGGUGCAAGCGUUAUCCGGAUUUACUGGGCUUAAAGGGUGCGUAGGCGGGUUGAUAAGUCAGUGGUGAAAGCCUCCCGCUCAACGGGAGAACUGCCAUUGAUACUAUCAGUCUUGAAUACAGUUGAGGUGGGCGGAAUGUGUCGUGUAGCGGUGAAAUGCUUAGAUAUGACACAGAACACCGAUUGCGAAGGCAGCUCGCUAAACUGUGAUUGACGCUGAGGCACGAAAGCGUGGGGAUCAAACAGG
rnacentral:rRNA from 1 species